rnacentral:tmRNA from 1 species
GGGGACGACAUGGCUUCGACGGAAGUCGCAAAGCUCCAGGUGCAUGUCGAGGACGUCACUCUCCCUCGUAAAAAAUGUGGCAAAAAAGUUAGUUGCGAACGACGACAACUACGCACUCGCGGCCUAAGAACCCGUGAGCUGUUCACACCCGAUCGCCUGUGGUCGGUGGCGAACAGGCAUACUACACAGGCUAGCCCUGCCGGAAGCCCGGGCCAGCAAGGCGAAACAUAACGGGAUCGCUGCUUCCAUACCCUGACCGUCGGGUAGGAAAAAGCUAAAAAUAAUGACGGUGCUAAGCAUGUAGACCCUGGUGUGGAGGUCUUUCGGACGCGGGUUCGAUCCCCGCCGUCUCCACCA